UACGGGGGGGGUAAGCGUUGUUCGGAAUUACUGGGCGUAAAGGGCUCGUAGGUGGCCAACUAAGUCAGACGUGAAAUCCCUCAGCUUAACUGGGGAACUGCGUCUGAUACUGGAUGGCUUGAGUUUGGGAGAGGGACGCGGAAUUCCCGGUGUAGAGGUGAAAUUCGUAGAUAUCGGGAGGAACACCGGUGGCGAAGGCGGCGACCUGGGUCGAGACUGACGCUGAGGCGCGAAAGCGUGGGGAGCAAACAGG
rnacentral:rRNA from 1 species